rnacentral:rRNA from 1 species
CGAUGGCCGACGUCGCAUGCUCCCGGCCGCCAUGGCGGCCGCGGGAAUCGAUUAGAGUUUGAUCAUGGCUCAGAUUGAACGCUGGCGGAAUGCUUUACACAUGCAAGUCGAACGGCAGCACGGGGGCAACCCUGGUGGCGAGUGGCGAACGGGUGAGUAACACAUCGGAACGUGCCCAGUCGUGGGGGAUAACGUAGCGAAAGCUACGCUAAUACCGCAUACGAACUCUGGUUGAAAGCGGGGGACUCGCAAGAGCCUCGCGCGAUUGGAGCGGCCGAUGGCAGAUUAGGUAGUUGGUGGGGUAAAGGCUCACCAAGCCGACGAUCUGUAGCUGGUCUGAGAGGACGACCAGCCACACUGGGACUGAGACACGGCCCAGACUCCUACGGGAGGCAGCAGUGGGGAAUUUUGGACAAUGGGCGCAAGCCUGAUCCAGCCAUUCCGCGUGCAGGAUGAAGGCCCUCGGGUUGUAAACUGCUUUUGUACGGAACGAAACGGUCCUGGUUAAUACCUGGGGCUAAUGACGGUACCGUAAGAAUAAGCACCGGCUAACUACGUGCCAGCAGCCGCGGUAAUACGUAGGGUGCAAGCGUUAAUCGGAUUACUGGGCGUAAAGCGUGCGCAGGCGGUUAUGUAAGACAGGUGUGAAAUCCCCGGGCUUAACCUGGGAACUGCAUUUGUGACUGCAUAGCUAGAGUACGGUAGAGGGGGGAUGGAUUCCGCGUGUAGCAGUGAAUGCGUAGAUAUGCGGAGGAACACCGAUG